GAUGAAGAACGUAGUGAAAUGCGAUAAGUAAUGUGAAUUGCAGAAUUCAGUGAAUCAUCGAAUCUUUGAACGCACAUUGCGCCCCCCAGUAUUCUGGCGGGCAUGCCUGUUCGAGCGUCAUUUCAUCCAUCAAGCCCUGCUUGUGUUGGGGUCCUGCGGCUGCCCGCAGGCCCUGAAAACCAGUGGCGGGCUCGCUAGUCACACCGAGCGCAGUAGCACAUCUCGCUCAGGGCGUGCGGCGGGCUCCAGCCGUUAAAGCACCCACCUUUCGCAAGGUUGACCUCGGAUCAGGUAGGAAUACCCGCUGAACUUAAGCAUAUCAAUAAGCGGAGGA
rnacentral:misc_RNA from 1 species